GAAUAUUGCACAAUGGGCGAAAGCCUGAUGCAGCGACGCCGCGUGAGGGAUGACGGCCUUCGGGUUGUAAACCUCUUUCAGCAGGGAAGAAGCGAAAGUGACGGUACCUGCAGAAGAAGCGCCGGCUAACUACGUGCCAGCAGCCGCGGUAAUACGUAGGGCGCGAGCGUUGUCCGGAAUUAUUGGGCGUAAAGAGCUCGUAGGCGGCUUGUCACGUCGGUUGUGAAAGCCCGGGGCUUAACCCCGGGUCUGCAGUCGAUACGGGCAGGCUAGAGUUCGGUAGGGGAGAUCGGAAUUCCUGGUGUAGCGGUGAAAUGCGCAGAUAUCAGGAGGAACGACCGGUGGCGAAGGCGGAUCUCGUGGGCCGAUACUGACGCUGAGGAGCGAAAGCGGUGGGAGCGA
rnacentral:ncRNA from 1 species